GCCCUGAAUUCCAGUUCCAAAGGAGGGCUACAUGACACUGGGCAGGUACCUUCCUCUCUUUGGGACCUACUGAAAAACGGGGCCUUGGACUGACUAGGUGGUCCUGAGGUCCUGCCCAGGUCCGAUCUUCCGGGAAGUCCAAGAAUUGGCCUGGAGUAAAGCCCCAGCCAACUAGGAGGAUGCCUGUAGAAGAGCCGGCGGUCAAGCUUAGGAGCCAAACCCACCAUGAGCUCCCGAACCUCGGACCCGUAUGACUGAGGACGCAGCUCCGGAACCUGAAAGUUCAGGGACUCAGCCUGGAGAUCCCUGGAUCCGGCCCAGGACCCGGGGAACGAUCCAGGGACCCGGUCACUUGCAAGGGGAGAGAAGUAAACAGCUCAGGGAAACUAGCGGUCGUCUCUUCUCCCAGGUGAACAUCACCAGGUUCUUCACCUGAUGCCAAGGUGGCCCCAUCUCCAGUCCUUCACCACCCUAUUCAUCAACCCUCUCCAGUGAGUCCCAUCUCCCAAUGUCCUUCCUAAUGUGGGGGGCCCAGUGCUGCAGGUGGAACCUGACCAGGGACAAUCCCCCACCCCAUCCAGGACAUUCCACCUCUCCCUAGAGCAGAAGGUGGCACCAGUUUUCAGAACCGCUGUAGAGGACCACAGGAACAGCACAGGAGAAGGACACAGCCAAGAUAAUGUUACAAAGAGAUGUGCUUGUUGAUACUUUGAUUGGAAUUCAUAUAAGAAAAAUUCUCGGUGUUGCCCAUUGGUAAAGCUAUGUAAACUUUGUUCCAUUGGGGUAUGUUCCCAUGAGUCAAAGAUAUAAAACAGCCUGCUGUGCUCUAAUAAA